GCAGCACGGGGGCAACCCUGGUGGCGAGUGGCGAACGGGUGAGUAAUAUAUCGGAACGUGCCCUGGAGUGGGGGAUAACGUAGCGAAAGUUACGCUAAUACCGCAUACGAUCUACGGAUGAAAGUGGGGGAUUCGCAAGAACCUCAUGCUCGUGGAGCGGCCGAUAUCUGAUUAGCUAGUUGGUGGGGUAAAAGCCUACCAAGGCGACGAUCAGUAGCUGGUCUGAGAGGACGACCAGCCACACUGGAACUGAGACACGGUCCAGACUCCUACGGGAGGCAGCAGUGGGGAAUUUUGGACAAUGGGCGCAAGCCUGAUCCAGCAAUGCCGCGUGAGUGAAGAAGGCCUUCGGGUUGUAAAGCUCUUUUGUCAGGGAAGAAACGGUGGGCUCUAAUACAGGCCACUAAUGACGGUACCUGAAGAAUAAGCACCGGCUAACUACGUGCCAGCAGCCGCGGUAAUACGUAGGGUGCAAGCGUUAAUCGGAAUUACUGGGCGUAAAGCGUGCGCAGGCGGUUUGGUAAGACAGAUGUGAAAUCCCCGGGCUCAACCUGGGAAUUGCAUUUGUGACUGCCCGGCUAGAGUGUGUCAGAGGGGGGUAGAAUUCCACGUGUAGCAGUGAAAUGCGUAGAGAUGUGGAGGAAUACCGAUGGCGAAGGCAGCCCCCUGGGAUGACACUGACGCUCAUGCACGAAAGCGUGGGGAGCAAACAGGANUAGAUACCCUGGUAGUCCACGCCCUAAACGAUGUCUACUAGUUGUCGGGUCUUAAUUGACUUGGNAACGCAGCUAACGCGUGAAGUAGACCGCCUGGGGAGUACGGUCGCAAGAUUAAAACUCAAAGGAAUUGACGGGGACCCGCANAGCGGUGG
rnacentral:rRNA from 1 species